UAUUCCUUUGGGAACAUAUAAAUUAGAACAAUAUAAAUUAUACCUAUUGGUAUGUAAUUAAUGCAGUAAGAGCUCUUACUUCCCUUACUUUGUACUUACUAAAUGCAAAGAAGAAUAAAUUUAUCAAAAUUUGAUAUCUACAAGUGAACUGCAGUAUACAAGUCAUCCUAGCCAAACCCGAUGAAAUUGGCUGAAAAUGGUUUGUUAGCAGAACAGAUGGAAUGAGUGACCAGUGUCAAACAGCAUGAUUUCUGGACCAAAAUAUGAGGGGGGCAGUUAAAACAGAGUAAACAGCACCCCUUAUCCACCAUAUGUGUGGAAAACAAAACAACUCAUUUGCCAUGUUUUUCUCUGCUCUCACACCACAGCAACAAUCAUCAACAAAGAAGGCUUCUGUGACCAAACAUGGAGAGGUUUUCCCCACCAACGAGCGAGCAAUCACUUCUGCAGACGACACAAACUGGGUAUCAUCUAAUUCAGUUCUCACACUCUGUCUGCAGAUAGCAUCAGAUUCCACAGGUAAAGGGCUCAGUCCCAUGAGACUGCCUCCCUACAUCAGUCCUAAGUCUGAAACUCCAGAACUUCUGACCAAUCGGCUUCAAAUUCUGGUUCCCAAGACUCCCUCUUUGGGUUAAAUUGAAUUGCUGGAAUGGCUCAGUACUCAGGGAAACACACUUACCAGUAUACUAUGAAUGACAUUACAAAAGGUACAGAUGAACAGAUGCAUAGUGCAAAGUAUGGGGCUAGUGGCACAGAGAUUUCCAUGCCCUCUCAGGACAUAGCACCCUCCAGGAACCCCCAUGUAUUCAGUGAUCUGGAAGCUCUUCAAGCCCAGUCCCUUUGGGUCUUUAUAAAACUUCCAAUACAUAGGCAUCACUAAUUAAUCACUGGCUGUUGGUGACUGACAACCUUCAGCCCUUCUCUCCUCUCCAGAAUUUGCAGAGUGAGACAGAAGAUCUCAACCCUCUAAUCAGCCAUGUCGUCAGGAUUGUACCAGUUCCCAUGCUGAAUCUACCUAAGAGCUUCCAGCCAUCGAUUAUUAGCAUACCAAAAGACAUCACUGUGGAAAUUCUAAGGAGUUUAAGAAUUGUACACCAAGAAAUGAGUCAAAGUCCAAACACAGACUUUAUAUCUGCAGUUUUGAAUUGUGUGGUUACAGCUACUAACAGUUAACUGUAUUCUAAACAGAUUACAUUAAAAACUCUAGAAAUAAACUAGUCAUAAGUGUUAGUGUGCCAGUCUGAGAAGCACAAUAAAAUCUUGAGCUCCUGCCCUCUAUCCAUCCCAGGAUGUGAAUCAUUCCUUUGUCCAGUGCAUUCACACUGCAUAUGCUGUCCAGCCAUUAGUCAUCAACAUGGUCUCCUCCUGCAUCCAGCCAUCAACAUCAUUAAGGCCUGAAGGUCCAGAAACACUCAAAGCUGAUAAUCUUUUUUUCUGACUUGAAGUCAGGGGGUGAAUAGUGACCUAACACUAUAUGACAAUGACUACAUCAUUCACCUCACCUCAUCUCAUUACAUAGGUACUGCAUCACUUCACAUCAUCACAGGAAAAUGGGUGAGAACCAUACCAUAUAUUUAAGAGACCACAUUCAAAAAACUUUCAUUACAGCAUAUUACCAUAAUUUUCCAUUUUAUUUUUAGUUGUUAAUUUCUAACUGUGCCUAAUUUAUAAAUUAAGCUUUAUCAUAGAUAUGUAAGUAUAGGGGAAAAAACCCAGUCAUUCAGUACUAUUUGUGCUUUCAGGCAUUCACUGGGGGCCUUUGAAUGUAUCUUCCACAGUUAAGGGUGAACUACUGCACUUACUUUGUUGUCACACAACACAUUCUCUCUAGCUCUUCAGUUAAAACUGUUCAGCUUAGGAUAAAGCACCCUAUCACCAGAAGUCAGCAAAACAUAGGAUUCAGACCAGAAACAGGGAUUCUUGCAAAAACUUUCCAGCUGCCAGUGGAGAAGAGCUCAGGAGAUAUUAAUGUGUUACUCUGGCCAAGACCCUUGGGGAAGGUGCUGGGUGGUUUACUUAGUUGUAGCUAUAUGCUCAGCUCUACGUAUAACAAGGCCCAAAUUCACCUGCCAUUUUACCUCCCACAGAAAGAACCACUGGAAAGAUCACUCCUUUAAGAGCUUAUCCACUCCGAAUCACACCUCACAUUCAGAGAGAAGCUUAAGAAACACUGGGGAGGUGUGGCAGGCCACAGGCAGUACUAUCUGAUAUGGAAGAUUUAUAGAAAGAAAACUACCAAUGCCCUCUUUCUGCUAGAUUGUGCCAAUGCUUUUCCCUCUCCCUAGCAGGAGAAAAAAAUUCUUUUUAAACCUCAUAUAAAGCAAAAUUGUGUGAUUUCCUUUCCAUUCCUCAUGACAGAGAAUCUAGUCAUAGGUGAGUCAUGUCACCAUAAUACAGACUGUUUUCAGACUCAUCCCUCAAAUGAAGAGAUCAGCGAGGAUCGUGGGUAUUUACCUAUAGCAUUCACUGCCUGGUCUUAUUUCCAACUGAAAGUACAUAUGGAAGAAUUUGUGAUUCCAGUUUUAUAAAGUACAACCUCUCGAACUUGUUCCCUUCCAAGGAACAGAGAGUCUAUCUAAACCCACCCCAUAAACCAAGAUGCUCCAGUGUGUACUGUGUGGUAAUGCAUGGUGUCAUUUUCCUCAGCCCUUUCCAUUAUGUGGCAAAUAUCUACACAAAUCAUGUUUUCUAAAUAUGCAAAGCACAUGUCAUCAGAUCUUAUGACAAAAAGAAAAACAAAAGAACAAAGUAUAUCUUAAAUGACUACAUUCAAUUACCAUAGAACUUUAACUUUUUAACUAGUGAAAAAUAUAUCCAUUGUAUUAUUUCAACUAUGACUCUUCUGAAAAAAAUAAAACUAUGAAGAUAGAAAAGAACAGUGGUUGGAGUUGCUAGGAAGAAAGGGAGAGAUGAACAGGCAUAGUAUUGAGAAUUUUUAGGGCAGUGAAAAUGUUCGGUCUAUCAUAUUAAAGUAAUAGAUACAUGUCAUUAUACAUUUGUCCAAAUUCACAGAAUGUACAGUAUUAAGAAUGAAGCCUGAUGGCAACUAUGAACUUUGAAUGAUUAUGACGUGUCAACGUAGGUUCAUCAGUUGUAAAAAAUGUAACAGUUUGGUGGAAAAUACUAACAAUGGGAAGGGCCAUGCAUGUGUGGGAGGCAUGGAAAAUAAUGAGAAAUCUCUAUACCUUCCUCUCAAUUUUGCUUUGAACCUAAAACUGCUGUAAGAAAAAGUUACCGAUCUAAAAAAUGUACUCAUUAUCUAUGCAUCCCAGGAUUUCCAGAACAAAAACUAAAAUGAAAAAUAAAAGAUAUUCACUGAACCUCUUAUGAUAUAUUUAAGCAAGACAUGGUGACCCCCAAAAUUGGAGAUCCUUAAAGACCAAACUAAUAGCAAGUAGGCAUUAUUUCUCAAAUCGAAGUCUAUAAAAUAUGUAAAACGAAUAAAUUUAAUUGCAUGCUCAGGCGAGAAAACAUUGAUAAAAUGAUUAUUUUAUCUUAUUUCACAAUUCUAAACAGGCAUUUAGCACAAGAUGAAAACUAGAUUAUUCAUGUAAUGAAAAUAAAAGACAAUUUUUAUUCUAAUUUUAACUCAGAUAUUAUUAGGCUUAUUUCAUUUAACAAUUUUACUGAAAGGCUAAUGAGUUAAGGAGGACAGAUUGUAAUUACCUAAUACUGCUAUGGUAACUUACAAAGAAAUACCUGUUAGUCACCAAAACUCAAAAAAGUAACCAGCAUUGUAACUAAGGAUGGAUCAUACAACAGAAACUAGUACCAAGUGACCCUAUCUUAUAUUAUUUGCUGUUAAAAUGAAAUUUUAAAACAACACCAAAAAUUCAGUUGGGGCUAAUACUUUUGUGCAGAAAAGCUUUCAUAUAGCAGGCAAAAGACUGACAUCCUUAGAAAGGCCCGCAUGCAAGGCUGGCCCCUUGGCUGGUGUUUAGGAAAUUGAAAUUGAGAGAGUUCCCACCAUUCCCUGGGAAGAAUGGCUCACUGUGUCUAAAGUGUUUAGAGAAACAAUGUGGUUACUCUGAACAGAUGCUUUCCUUCUGGGAGUCUGGAAUUUGGGUACAUGUGAGGGAGAGUAACCUCCAUUUUAAAAACUUGGGUCCUGAGUCUCUAAUGAGAUUCUGGUACUGGUAGACAUCACUGCACAUGUAUUGCCAAAAUGUGAGGCUGGGAGAAUUAAGCAGAUCCUGGGAACUCCACAGGAUAGAACUCCUAUAAACUUGUGCCUGGUUUCCUCCAGACUUGACAAGAUGCACCUUUUCUCUCUAAUUUUGCCUGUACCCUUUCAUUGUAAUAAAUUAAAGAUCUGAGUAUGAUUAUUUUCUGAGUCCUGUGAGACCUUCUAGUGAAUCACCAAAUCUGGGGGUGGUCUUGGAAAUCCUUGAUACAAAUGCAUCACAUAAAAUUUUUGUUAAGUUGAUAUGAUAUAUGUAACUGUCAUCAGAUGGUUAUUUCACAUAAUAACUUUACCUAAUCCAUUUUUCUUUUUUCUCCUUGAUAUUUGACUUGGAGAUUCUGGUAUUUCUGUAUCUAAUUGAAUAAAGCCAUUGAUGAGGAAGGAUUAUUUGCGGGUCAGAA